CUCAGUCCCGGUGUCAGCUCUCACCCUGCAUGUAUCCAGAGAGAUCCAUUGUCUCCCCUCCGCAAACUCCAGUCAUUGAUCCAAAAAUCCCCGCUGCCUCCUUCCUCCAUGUUCCUCUUGCGCUCUCGCUCCGUUUGCCUCCUCCAUCGGCCUCCUCUCUCCCCUCCGCCUUCCCCAACCCCUCCAAGUGAUCCGACAUUAGCAAGCCACUCUUAUGGUCCGAGCCGUCUCUCUCAAUCCCCCACCCCUCUUUGUCUCUCCAAGCCCGAGCGCCCGCGAGCCCCUCGACCACCACCAGAGGGAGGCGUAGAAUUUGUUGCUCAGGACAGGAUCAAGAGGGAGACAAAGAGGAGGAAGGCGAUGGGGCGGUGUCAGCACUAGCAGUGGAGGGUGGCGGUGGGCUACGGCGACUAGCAAAAUGAGACGGCAUCGGCUGAAUCUGGCUCGAGUGAGGGUAGAUCUGGUCUGGCUGAUACCGACAAAGAUGGAAGCGGAGAGGAGGAAGGCGAUGGGGGCAGGGGCGGCGACACCGGUGGUGGCACCACGAUGGCGCUGGAGGGCGGCGAUGGGCUCUAGCGACUGGCAAAUCCCCGACAAGGUCGCCCUCCUUUGAUGAACAGGAAGGUAUCCACAAACAUGCCCACUCCUCCGUCUUCGCUAGGUGUGGGGUCCACGACCACUCCAGUGCCUUCCUCUCCUCCGAUCGAUGAUGCACCACCGCUGGCUCAAGUACGUGAUCAUCCAGGCAACCGCCAAACGGAUCCACAAGACCCACGCGUGUCACGGGUGUCCGACGUGGGCACCCAAGUAAAGGAAAGGAUGAUAGUUCCAUCAAUGGCAGGGAGGGCAACGAGAAGCCGCAGGCCAUCGCCCACGCCCGUGCACCUGCUGCUUCACCACCCCGGCCACGGCGUGGCUGUCCUCCCCAUCAACAUCAGCAAGAUCUUUCCCUUACCCUUUCUUUGAUUCAUUUUUUUUUACCUUAAUUUCUUCCAUGCUUCUUAAUGUGUUGCUACACCAGGAAACAAUAAGAUGAUCGGAACACAAAUGUUCCUUGCGAUUCUUAAUUUCUUAAACAUUGUUUGCUUCUUGUGAUAUACCAAAUCAACAAAGGAAUCAACGAAUCGAAAACCCUAGUGACUAUUUUGGUGGGUCACUUAGCUAUUUACAACUCGGACCAAAUGCUUUCAUCAAUAGACCAAGCUCCCACUCUCCGAGGAUGGCUGACUACAUUCGACGUUAUGACACGGUCAAGCAUAACCUUCAAUUUGGACGAAGCCCAUUGUACAAUAUAACAUGUGUACUGUCUAUAACCCUAUGCUUCAAACCAGCUUACAGGACCAAGUGACGCACAAAAGCUUCCAACACGCACAAGGCAUGGUAAUCCCAGCCGUCGAUCGCGAUCAAGGGCACAUGACCAAGUGAUGGUUCAAGCAUGAGACAAAUAAUUAUACAAUGCAAGGGAACAAGCCUUAGACCUAGAGCCUUCUUGUUUUGUUAGUCUCUCCAGUAUGUACUGCGACAAUCAAAAGCUACCUUAAUGUUGUUCAGAUACAUAAAGUAGCUUGUAGUAUCACAAAUGAUACAUUUAGAGGUAUC